GUGCCCCUUGCGGUUCUUUGUCACUGGAUCUCCUCCAAUUUGCAUCCUCUUCCCCAGACCCUCCGGAACCUCUGAACCGCUACCCAGCCAGUCUGGCCCUGGAGGAUCCCCACCGCCUGGCCUCAUUCCUGGGCUCUACUUACUUCUGGAUAGCGUGUAUUCCCUUCCCGCGCGUGGCCGAGUCCCAAUUUCAGGGCUGUUAGAUCUGUUCAAGGACCACACCUUGGCCCUCGGAUGCAAACCUCCUGGCCUUUUACAUUUUGCCUGGACAGGAGGAAGGGCAAGUUCCUGGAGUGUAGGUUGCAGAAGUCCCAGGCAAAGGAGAAGGAAGACCACAAGGUGCCAGGAUGUUGUGGGAGGAGGGGGUGAAGGCUAGGUGGUUAGCGUGGGCAAAGAGGUGAGUCUGGGGCCAGCAUCCCGAAUUUGGACGGUAGAAGAUUGUUAAAACGUGGUGUGUAGGUGCUGUAAACGAUUGUAUUUGGACAGGAAGCCCAACUGAGUUAAUGGCCACGUAGGGUCUGAAGUCUUUCCGGGAGUCUUAAAAAGGGGCCCUUAAAGGCAUUCAGAGACCUCACUUUCGUAAUAGCUAGUUCACCCUGGACAGAAUCAGGGCUAAGUUUCUGCCUGGGAUUAGUGAGGGCAGCCUGAUUUUUAAAGUUUACUUUCGGUGGGAAAAUAAGGGGGGGAUGGUAAUGAAAAUUCACCACACCUCAUCUGUGUGGUUAGAUAACUCAAUGAUAUCUGCUGCAGGACAGACAUGAGCAGGCCGGAUAACCUAGAUUUUAUUUAAUACAAUGCACCUGUCCUGGUGGUGGGGCAUUUGCCUUGUUUAGCUGCUAAUGUGGGAAAGCCUUCGUUUUUGCAGCUUGUGUCCCUCUUGCUUGUUUUGGGCGUAGAGAAAACAUUUAUCCCUCUUAAACUGUUUCUCCAAAUUGUUGUGCUUGCUUUAAGCCUAAUUUCUGGGCCCGGACAUUUUAGUUACCCCAAGUAUAAGUACUAGAGUUACAAAAUUCUGUUUUGAAUCAUCACAGUCAUUUGCAAAAGAGGAACUGUUGUCUAGACGUCUAUCAUUCCCUGAAGUGAGCUGACAAUUCAAUUUGAUGAAUUAAUGCUGAAAUUAAUAUUAAUCAAUGGCAAAGGAGACUGGAGCAGAGGACGGACCUUUGAUGGAUGGUCACAGGUUUCUCCGGGCUGCGAAGCGUCUUGCUUUCAGAAAUGACUUUUUCCACUUCUUGCAUAGGUUUGCCUUGUCUGGAGGACUCUGAUGAUGGACUUGUUCAGACAGCCCCAAUUUUGUAUUUGAGACCCUGAGGAAUUCAGCAGUUUGUCCAGCUUGCAUAGCUAGUUGGUGACAGAGCUAGUCCUCAAAUCUUGGAUUAUUUCCAAACCCAGUGUUUGCAGUAUUGUAUCACACUGAGAAACCCUCAUGCUGUUCACUGUGAGCACUUAAUAAAUACUGGAUUUCUAAGAGCA